CACCUUCGCAGUAAGGCGGACUGUUUAACCUGCCAGUGCCCUGCCCAUUAUUUGCCUCCGUUGGCCUGGCAGUUUCACGGCCCAUUAAGAAAUUAGCUCAUUGUUUCUGGGCUUCAUCUCUUUAGCUGUCCGCCUAAAAAAAACGCAGUUUUUCGGUAUGUUGUGGACAUGGACUUCUCCCAAAGAAGGACUGAACUUUUCUUGAGAAGACACCGGCAACACGACGUCUACUUUUUCAGUCUGUUUUGGGCAUGAACUUCUGCCAAAUAAGGAUGCAACUUCUGAGAGGGCACUGGCAUCGCCACUUCACCAAGCUGCUCCUACAAUACUCGGUCAUGCAUGAGGAGAGCUUGAGAGUGCUGGGUUGGAAGGAUCCCAGAGAAGAGCGAGAAUGUCCCCUCCACCCAGUAGAUGGAAGCAAAGCUACACGGACUAAUAGAGAAUAAAAAAGUUGGGUGUGAGUUUCCCCAGAUGGUGAGUGGCAGAGCAGGAGCGCUUCUGCCCUUCUUUCCCCAAGUAGGCAGACGGGUCUUUUCAACUCUCUUCCAUCAAGAUUCCAUAAAGGCAGAAAGAGACCCAGUGCUCCUUACAGCGGGGGCUUUCGCGAGAGCUUCAUUCCAAAAUGACAGAUACUGUCGUUUCAGAUCCAAGCGACCUGUACCCUGACAGGGAGAGCAAGAGAGGAGAGAAAAAUAGCAUUGGAGAGAUGAAAAUGAGACUGAGGGCGCUGGCAAAGAGAAACUCCAGAGCUGAAUAGCAAAUGCAGUUUACAAGAGGCUGUGAGGUCUGGAAAACACAAACGAAAUAAAAGCGGAUGGUUGACUCAGGGAUUCUGUAUAUCUCUCUCUCUCUGCUGGCCCUUUAUCCAACUUUGAACCUGCAGUUUUAAAGCCUUGGGUGUAUGUAACACUGGCUCUCUGCCGUUCUCUCGCCUGCUCCAUCUCCCUCUCUAAUUAAUGCUCAGCUAUGUGAAACCAGGAUUAGAUCAGAACAGGGAAAUCAAUGGCUGAUAGCACAGGGCAAAGAAGAAGAGGAGGGCAGUAAGCAAGCCGUCACAUUUUAAUCAGGGUGGGUGAGGAUCGGAAGUAAUUGCAGUGGUUCCCCUUUGAGGUUGAUUGAGGGUCUGUCUCAAGUCGCAUGCUUGCACACAUGUGCUUGCAGCAUAUGUGUCUACAUGUGUAAGCCAGUGUCAAGGGUAGCUUAUAAAGGAAGAGUGUGAUAUCUAUGGGAGAGGUUGGACUCUGAAGUUCCCACAGAAGGACCAACCGAUCCUUAGAAGUCUUGGAGACAUGCACGGCUAUGCAAGAUUGCAACCUCAGCAGCAGCAUUAGUCGUGGGAAUAUGAGCUACCCAGCAGCGUGUUUUUCACAAACUAGCCUCAAGUGGGAACACAUCACACCCUUUCACCAGGGUGCUGAAUGCUGCAAAUAAGUGUGUAAAAAGAGAAUC